AUUGAACGCUGGCGGCAGUCCUAACACAUGCAAGUCGCACGAGUGGCGGACGGGUGUGUAAUGUCUGGGCAACUGCCUGAUGGCUGGGGAUAACUACUGGAAACGGUAGCUAAUACCGCAUACCAUCGGAUGUGCCCAGACGGGAUUAGCUAGUAGGUGGGGUACAGGCUCACCUAGGCGACGAUCCCUAGCUGGUCUGUGAGGCUGACCAGCAACAAUGGAACUGAGGCACGGGCGAGAAUCUUACGGGAGGAAGCAGUGGGGAAAAGGGCACUAGGGGAGCAAGCCUGAUGAAGAAAUGCGGCGUGUAUGAAGAAGGCCUUCGGGUUGGAAAGUACGUUCAGCGAGGAGGCGUUACCGGCAGAAGAAGCACCGGCUAACGCCGUGCCAGCAGCCGCGGUAAUUC
rnacentral:rRNA from 1 species